GAUGAACGCUAGCGGCAGGCCUAAUACAUGCAAGCCAAGGGCUGAUUGGUGUAGCAAUACAUCAACCAACCGGCGGACGGGGGCGGAACGCGUAUGCAACCCACCCUAUACAGGAGGGUAGCCCUCGGGAACGAGGAUUAAUACUCCAUAAGAAUGCUUAGAGGCAUCUUUAAGCAAUUAAAGCCGCAAGGCGGUAUAGGGUGGGGGUGCGUCCGAUUGGCUAGUUGGUGAGGGAACGGCUCACCAAGGCGUUGAUCGGUAAGGGUUCUGAGGGGAAGCGCCCCCACACGGGCACCGGGAACCGUGCCCCUCUCCUACGGCAGGCAGCAGUAAGGAAGAUUGGACAGUGGGAGAUAGCCUGAUCCAGCCAUGCCGGGUGCAGGAAGGAGGCCCUCGGGAUGGUAAACUGCUUUUGAGAGGGCGAAAUAAGGGCGAUGCGUCGCUCGAUGAUAGUACUUCUCGAAGAAGCAUCGGCUAACUUCGUG
rnacentral:rRNA from 1 species